CUCAUAUGGCAGGCCAAAACCUGAGAAGAUUCUUUAUGGGAAGUGCCCUGUCUAACCAUUUCUUGGCCUUCUGUAGCCUCUUUAUCGAAAAUAGAGGAUCUCUGCUGUAACGUGACAUUUUCUAAGGCUCCCAUAGGCUCUCAGAAGGCGCCAGAAUGGGGAAUGAUAACUCUGCAGUCCCUGGGCAAAAAACAGUAGGGGUUUUGGAAAGUGGUUGUUCUGAGAACCAUGGCACUGGUGCGGGCGUGCAUGUGAAGACUCCAUUUUCUAUUUUCAGUGUUUGAAUGAAAACAAGGUCUCCCGGUUGGAAUAUUAUCGCUAUUUUAUGAGAAAAAUCACAUAAAAAUGUAUUUUAUACAGCGUUUGACAUGCUUAGAAGUACGGUAAUGGAAUAUUUUGAAUUUUUUUGUCACGAUAUGCGCCGGCACGUCACCGUUCGGAUAGUGUCUUGAACGCAAGAACAAAACGCAGCUAUUUAGAUAUAACUAUGUUUUUUUUUUAACCAAAACAACAUUGGGUGUUGAAGUAGAAGUCCUGGGAGUGCCUCUGACGAAGAACAGCAAAGGUAAUCCAAUUUUUCUUGUAGUAAAUCUGAGUUUGGUGAGUGCCAAACUUGGUGGGUGUCAAAUUAGCUAGCCCGUGAUGGCGAGCUAUUUACUCAGAAUAUUGCAAAAUGUGCUUUUGCUGAAAAGCUAUUUUAAAAUCUGACACCGCGAUUGCAUAUAGGAGUUCUGUAUCUAUAAUUCUUAAAAUAAUUGUUAUGUUUUUUGUGAACGUUUAUCGUGAGUAAUUUAGUAAAUUCACCGGAAGUUUUCGGUAUGUUUGCUAGUUCUGAACAUCACAUGCUAAUGUAAAAAGCUGGUUUUUGAUAUAAAUAUGAACUUGAUUGAACAAAACAUGCAUGUAUUGUAUAACAUAAUGUCCUAGGAGUGUCAUCUGAUGAAGAUCAUCAAAGGUUAAUGCUGCAUUUAGCUGUGGUUUUGGUUUUUGUGACAUUAUAUGCUAGCUUGAAAAAUGGGUGUCUGGCUAGGUACUCUGCUGACAUAAUCUAAUGUUUUGCUUUCGUUGUAAACCCUUUUUGAAAUCGGAUAAUGUGGUUAGAUUAACGAGAGUCUUGUCUUUAAAAUGGUGUAAAAUAGUCAUAUGUUUGAGAAAUUGAAGUAAUAGCAUUUCUAAGGUAUUUGAAUAUCGCGCCACUCGAUUUCACUGGCUGUUGACUAGGUGGGACGAUUUCGUCCCACAUACCCUAGAGAGGUUAACCAGGGACUGAUUUAGACCUGGGACGUCAUGUCAUUAUUCCCUUCUAAUCAGGGGCUGAUUUAGACCCGGGACAUCAGGUCAUUAUUCCCCUUUAACCAGGGACUGAUUUAGACCUGGGACAUCAGGUCGUUAUUCCCCUUUAACCAGGGGCUGAUUUAGACCUGGGACAUCAGGUCAUUGUUCUCCCCUAAUCAGGGACUGAUUUUAGACCUGGGACAUCAGGUCAUUAUUCCCCUUUAACCAGGGACUGGUUUAGACUUGGGACAUCAGGUCAUUAUUCCCCUCUAAUCAGGGACUGAUUUAGACCUGGGACAUCAGGUCAUUGUUCCCCUUUAACCAUGGACUGAUUUAGACCUGGGACAUCAGGUCAUUAUUCCCCUUUAACCAGGGACUGGUUUAGACUUGGGACAUCAGGUCAUUAUUCCCCUCUAAUCAGGGACUGAUUUAGACCUGGGACAUCAGGUCAUUGUUCCCCUCUAAACUGAUUUAGACCUGGGACAUCAGGUCAUUAUUCCCCUUUAACCAUGGACUGAUUUAGACCUGGGACAUCAGGUCAUUAUUCCCCUUUAACCAUGGACUGAUUUAGACCUGGGACAUCAGGUCAUUAUUCCCCUUUAACCAGGGACUGAUUUAGACCUGGGACGUCAUGUCAUUAUUCCCCUCUAAUCAGGGGCUGAUUUAGACCAGAGGUGUGUGUGUGUGUGUGUGUGUGUGUGUGUGUGUGUAACAGAGUCUGUCAGAGGAGUGUGUGUGUGUGUGUGUGUGUAACAGAGUCUGUCAGAGGAGUGUGUGUGUGACAGAGUCUGUCAGAGGAGUGUGUGUGUGUAACAGAGUCUGUCAGAGGUGUGUGUGUGUGUGUGUGUGUGUGUGUGUGUGUGUGAGUGUGUGUGUGUGCCCUUCUACUUGACAGUGAAAAUGCAAUGCUUCUUUCAGUCCGAGUAUGAAAGCCAUCCUGUUUUCUUGAACACCUUGUUUGUUUAAGGCCAAGAAAACUACAGGGAAACACUCAGGGUGGCAUUCAUACUCAGACUGAAAGAAGCAUUUUAUUUUCACUUUUAUUUAACAUCGAUACUAACAUAACAGGUUAUAAUACACUAGGUAUGCAUGCACACAAACAUCUCAGCACUCCCUUCAGCAACUUGCCCAAGCCCCCCCACCCCGCUUCUCCUUCACCCAAAUCCAGACAGACCUGGCUACCCCAACCCCAGUCAGCAGCUCUGCACCCCCCACAGCAACUUGCCCAAGCCCCCCAUUUCUCCUUCACCCAAAUCCAGAUAGCUGAUGUUCUGAAAGAGCUGCAAAAUCUGGACCCAUACAAAUCAGCCGGGCUAGACAAUCUGGAACCUCUCUUUCUAAAAUUAUCUGCCGAAAUUGUUGUAACUCCUAUUACUAGCCUGUUCAACUUCUCUUUCGUAUCGUCUGAGAUUCCCAAAGAUUGGAAAGCUGCCGCGGUCAAACUGCUACAGACCUAUAUCUAUCCUACCCUGCCUUUCUAAAGUCUUCGAAAGCCAAGUUAACAAACAGAUCACCGACCAUUUCGAAUCCCACCGUACCUUCUCCGCUGUGAAAUCUGGUUUACGAGCUGGUCAUUGGUGCACCUCAGCCACGCUCAAGGUCCUAAACAAUAACAUAUCCACCAUCGAUAAAAGACAGUACUGUGCAGCCGUAUUCAUCGACCUGGCCAAGGCUUUCGACUCUGUCAAUCACCGCAUUCUAAUCGUCAUACUCAAUAGCCUUGGUUUCUCAAAUGACUGCCUCGCCUUGAUCACCAACUAUUUCUCUGAUAGAGUUCAGUGUGUCGAAUCGGAGGGCCUGUUAUCUGGACCUCUGGCAGUCUCUGGGUGGGUGCCACAGGGUUCAAUUCUCGGGCCAAGUCUCUUCUCUGUAUACAUCAAUGAUGUCGCUCUUGCUGCUGGUGAGUCUCUGAUCCACCUCUAUGCAGAUGACACCAUUCUGUAUACUUCUGGCCCAUCUUUGGACACUGUGUUAACCUGUUGGGGCUAGGGGGCAGUAUUUGCAUGGCCGGAUAAAAAACGUACCCGAUUUAAUCUGGUUGCUACUCCUGCCCAGUAACUAGAAUAUGCAUAUAAUUAUGGCUUUGGAUAGAAAAUACCCUAAAGUUUCUAAAACUGUUUGAAUGGUGUCUGUGAGUAUAACAGAACUCAUUUGGCAGGCCAAAACCUGAGAAGAUUCCUUACAGGAAGUGGCCUGUCUGACCAUUUCUUGCCCUCCUUGAUCAUCUCUAACAAAUACAGGGGAUCUCUGGCAUGACGUGACACUUCCUACGGCUCCCAUGGGCUCUCAGAAGGCGGGAAAAAGCUGAACGAUGUAAUUCCAUCACCAGGCUGAAACACAUUAGCGCGUUUGGCAAGUGCUCUAUCAGAGGGCCAUUAGACUGAGGCUCAUGCAUGAGGGGAUAGCAUGCUUUUACUUUCACUCUCUGUGUAAUAAAAAACGAUUUCCCAGUCGGAAUAUUAUCGCUUUUUUACGAGAAAAAUGCCAUAAAAAUUGAUUUUAAACAGCGGUUGACAUGCUUCGAAGUACGGUAAUGGAAUAUUUAGAAUGUUUUUGUCACGAAAUGCGCCGUGCUCGUAACCCUAAUUUACCCUUUCGGAUAGUGUCUUGAACGCACGAACAAAACGCCGCUAUUUGGAUAUAACAAUGGAUUAUUUGGGACCAAACCAACAUUUGUUAUUGAAGUAGAAGUCCUGGGAGUGCAUUCUGACGAAGAACACCAAAGAGAUAAACGUACUUUGGUGCAAAAAGUGCAAAUCAAUCCCAGAACAACAGUAAAGGACCUUGUGAAGAUGCUGGAGGAAGCAGGUACAAAAGUAUCUAUAUCCACAGUAAAACGAGUCCUAUAUCGACAUAACCUGAAAGGCCGCUCAGCACGGAAGAAGCCACUGCUCCAAAACCGCCAUAAAAAAGCCAGACUACGUUUUGCAACUGCAC
rnacentral:lncRNA from 1 species